AAUUAUUUAAAUAAAUCAAAAAACUUUUAUUGAAUGGUGUUAAAAUUUUCUUACGAAGGAAAGACAGUGAAAUUAUCAGUUAAGACUUCAAUCAAAAUUCAAAUAAAAAAGAUGGAAGAUUUAUAUAGUCAUGAAUCAUGAUGAAUUCUAGAAAACAAGUAUUAAAAUCCAACUUGGGGUGUGUGUGGUCUCACACAAAAAGCAAAGGAAUCAAGGAUAUUUUGCUUUUGCACGGUCCAACGCUGCUGCCUUGUAAGAACGAAUAAAGCAAUAAAACCAGAAUAGACACAAGCCACAAAGCUCAU
rnacentral:misc_RNA from 1 species